rnacentral:rRNA from 1 species
AGCGGAGGAAAAGAAACUAACAAGGAUUCCCCUAGUAGCGGCGAGCGAAGCGGGAAGAGCUCAAAUUUAUAAUCUGGCACCUUCGGUGUCCGAGUUGUAAUCUCUAGAAGUGUUUUCCGCGUUGGACCGCACACAAGUCUGUUGGAAUACAGCGGCAUAGUGGUGAAACCCCCGUAUAUGGUGCGGACGCCCAGCGCUUUGUGAUACACUUUCAAUGAGUCGAGUUGUUUGGGAAUGCAGCUCAAAUUGGGUGGUAAAUUCCAUCUAAAGCUAAAUAUUGGCGAGAGACCGAUAGCGAACAAGUACCGUGAGGGAAAGAUGAAAAGCACUUUGGAAAGAGAGUUAACAGUACGUGAAAUUGUUGGAAGGGAAACGCUUGAAGUCAGACUUGCUUGCCGGAGCUUGCUUCGGUUUGCAGGCCAGCAUCAGUUUUCCGGGGUGGAUAAUAACGGUUUGAAGGUAGCAGUCUCGGCUGUGUUAUAGCUUUCCGUUGGAUACAUCCUGGGGGACUGAGGAACGCAGCGUGCUUUUUGCGAAAGACUCGUCUUUUUCACGCUUAGGAUGCUGGUGGAAUGGCUUUAAACGACCC